UGGGGAAUAUUGCACAAUGGGGGAAACCCUGAUGCAGCGACGCCGCGUGAAGGAUGAAGGUAUUCGUAUUGUAAACUUCUUUGAUCGGGGACGAAAAAAAUGACGGUACCCGAAGAACAAGCCACGGCUAACUACGUGCCAGCAGCCGCGGUAAUACGUAGGUGGCGAGCGUUAUCCGGAAUUACUGGGUGUAAAGGGCGUGUAGGCGGGCAGACAAGUCAUGUGUGAAAUACCACGGCUCAACCGUGGGACGGCAUGUGAAACUGUAGGUCUUGAGUACUGGAGGGGAAAGCGGAAUUCCUAGUGUAGCGGUGAAAUGCGUAGAUAUUAGGAGGAACACCGGUGGCGAAGGCGGCUUUCUGGACAGUAACUGACGCUGAGGCGCGAAAGCGUGGGGAGCAAACA
rnacentral:rRNA from 1 species